rnacentral:rRNA from 1 species
UCCGUAGGCGGAUUGCUAAGUCAGAGGUGAAAUCCCACAGCUUAACUGUGGAACUGCCUUUGAAACUGUUAGUCUUGAGUUAUAUGGAAGUAGAUAGAAUGUGUAGUGUAGCGGUGAAAUGCAUAGAGAUUACACAGAAUACCGAUUGCGAAGGCAGUCUACUACGUAUAUACUGACGCUAAUGGACGAAAGCGUGGGUAGCGAACAGGAUUAGAUACCCUGGUAGUCC